CAGAGGAUAGUUUAAGCAGAAUAUUAAUUUUGGGGAUUAAAGAUAUAGGAUUUUCUAUUCCUCUGA
rnacentral:tRNA from 1 species